GCGUAUGAAUGACCUCAACAGAUCUUUGACGCAAGGGAGAGAGAACCGCAAAUAAGAUGUAAAUAAGAUGAGGCUGGAGUGAGAAUGGCGGAUUUAGGAAUGGAAGACAUUUUGUUUCAACCUGGCCGAGACGUUUACAUCCCCGUCCGGCAGCAACUGAGGGCCGUAGGACGUCACGUCUGUGACUGUUGAAAUACCAUGAGGAAUAUUCCAAUGGAAGAUAUUCUAAAUCUCAGUUUUUCAUUUGAUUAUCUGUACAGGGAGCAAUUGUAUAAUUACUUGUACGUGGACAUUAUGGAAAAGGAGUGAAACGUAUCGAGUUCGGACUGCUAUUAGUGAACGGAGGAUAGUGUAUACUGGAAUAUCUGUAACCAAGAAUUAUGCCCCUGUCCCAUUUCAACACCACCAUGUGCCACAAGAACUGAUCCAUCCACAUAGAUGUGGACCAGUGCCCCACCCUGAAGAAAAAAGAAUUACAAUCAGCAAAAUAAUCUUUUCUCAUUUUCUUAACAAACAAGAUUACCAAGCUAUGUAUGAUUUGCUACACAAGCUGCUAUCUUUGAAAGAAU